GGCUUUAUCCAUUGAGCUCUUUUUUACUCUCGCUGAUCUAUCAUACACAUUCCUCGUCCAGCUUUUCCCCUCCCUUUUCCAGCCAUUCUGGUCCAAAGUCUCAAUCAUAGAAUUAACAUAAUUCUUGCUAUUCAUGCCUGAUAAAUACAUAUGACGAUAACGUAACGAUAUUAUUAACGCAAAAUAAGUGAGUACGACGAAAUAAUCAUUGUCAGGUGAUCGUUAAUUAUUUAUUUUUACGAGAGAUUGAAGUUGAUAACUAUUAUUUGGCUGACCACUGUGCGGAUCUUAUCGAAGUAUAAAUAUUGGAUUUGAUAUACGAAUAUUGGGAAAUUCUAAUAACAAUAUACAAAAAAUGGCAUUUCGUGAAUUAGUGGAAGGAGACUGUGGAGGUCCCAGCUCUUUAAUGCGCCUUGCAUCACAUUAUGUACAAGAUCAUGGUUUCAAGGAGGAAGGAAUUCAGCCUUUUAGGCCAUCCGAGACUUUUCAAACACAGGAUGCGGAUCAAUUAGUUCAACAAUUUUUAGAAGAGCCUGCCUGUCCACAGACAUUUCGUAUGGACAAUUUACUACAAGAAAUGAGAGAUAUCGAUCAAAAUAUCCAUCCUCCGAUAGCAGCACCUGGAGUCGUCAAAGAAUUAAGUGAUUUAGAUACAGCUUGGGAAAAUCUAUGUUUUAAGUCUGCUAAGCAAUUUGAAGAACAUCAUGUGGAUAAUAUAUGGAAUACACCUUUAAUGCAAUCCACUCAAGAAGAAAACACACAGUUUCUUGAAACUAGCAAACUUGGUCUAGAUUCAAAAUGGGUGGAAGAUUAUUUGGAACAUAACAUAAACAGUGUACAAGAUAAUAUUAACAAAAAUAAUGCACAAAUUAUAAAAGAUGAAGAUCCAAAUUAUGCAUAUUCAAGAUUUAUGAAAUUUAUGAAACAGGAAGGUGAUAUUCCAAUAGAAGCGCAAAGAGAAAUAGCCAACUUGGAUGAUGGAAUUGAAGAAUUAGAGCAAUAUUUUGUACAUAAACAAAAACCAGAAGAUAGUUCAAUUGAUAAUAUUAAUUAUGACGGUACAGUCUUAAACAAGGUAGAAGAAGAACUAGAAGCUGCGGGUACAUGGAUAGACGAAUUUGAAAAGGAAAAUCCAUCCUCAGAAUAUAAAUUAGAUUCAUUAUGGAAGCGGUUUCAAGAUGAAUGGGACAAAGUAUCUGCAGACGAGCUCUCUUCCACACAUCCAUGGGUAUCAGAAUUUGAUACAUAUUAUGAUCCAUUUAACAAAGAAUAUGAAUUUUGUGAAACAAAUCCUAUGAAGGAUUUACCAAAUGCACUAGCAGAAGGCAAGAAACGGUUAGAAGCAGGAGAUUUACCAAGUGCUGUACUCUGUUUUGAGGCAGCUGUUCAGCAGGAUGAAAAUAAUGUUGAAGCUUGGCUACUUCUUGGUAAAACACAAGCUGAGAAUGAACAGGAUCCUUUAGCUAUCUCUGCUUUGAAUCGUUGUUUGUGCUUGGAACCAUCUAACAGUGUUGCUCUUAUGGCAUUAGCAGCUUCUUAUGCAAAUGAGUCCUAUCAGAAACAAGCCUGUCUAACAUUGAAAGAGUGGUUACUAAAAAAUCAAAAAUAUAAGCAUCUAUCAAUUCCAGAGUCUAAUCUUACAAAAGACAAGCAACAGAAUUUCAGUGUGUCUACCUUAUUAUAUGAUAAAGUAUAUGAUGAAGUCAAAGAUUUAUAUAUUCAAGCAGCGAGAAUGAAUCCUCGAGAUGAAAUUGAUGCGGAUGUACAGUGUGGACUAGGUAUAUUGUUUAAUUUGUCAAGUGAUUAUAAUAAAGCUGUAGAUUGUUUCCAAGCAGCUUUACAAGUACGUCCUGAUAGAAGCAGGUGAACAUCUUUUGACAGCCUUAAAUCAACAAGCUGCAGGAAGAGGUCCACAGGCCAACACUGUAUCCCCUAAAGCAAUGUCAAACACAAUAUGGUCUACAUUAAGACUAGUUAUAUCAUUGAUGCAUAAAUAUGAAUUGAUGGAAGCUGUAGAAAACAGAGAUUUGUCUAAGUUAAAUAAGGAAUUUGAAAUCAUAUAAAUGGAUGCAAAUGAUUUAUCAAAUCAAACAAUCUGAAAAUGAAUUACACAAUAUGAUUCAUUUUUAUAUAAAUUAUUUUGUAGAGGUGAGAAAUGAAAAAAAUGUUUUUUCCAAUAUACGUUAGUAAAAUAUACAAUACAU
rnacentral:misc_RNA from 1 species